GAUGAACGCUGGCGGCGUGCCUAAUACAUGCAAGUCGAGCGAACAGACGAGGAGCUUGCUCCUCUGACGUUAGCGGCGGACGGGUGAGUAACACGUGGAUAACCUACCUAUAAGACUGGGAUAACUUCGGGAAACCGGAGCUAAUACCGGAUAAUAUAUUUAACCGCAUGGUUCAAUAGUGAAAGACGGUUUUGCUGUCACUUAUAGAUGGAUCCGCGCCGCAUUAGCUAGUUGGUAAGGUAACGGCUUACCAAGGCAACGAUGCGUAGCCGACCUGAGAGGGUGAUCGGCCACACUGGAACUGAGACACGGUCCAGACUCCUACGGGAGGCAGCAGUAGGGAAACUUCCGCAAUGGGCGAAAGCCUGACGGAGCAACGCCGCGUGAGUGAUGAAGGUCUUCGGAUCGUAAAACUCUGUUAUUAGGGAAGAACAAUUGUGUAAGUAACUAUGCACGUCUUGACGGUACCUAAUCAGAAAGCCACGGCUAACUACGUG
rnacentral:rRNA from 1 species